GUUUUUGUUUGUUUGUUUUUAGAGAGGAGGUCUCUCUCUGUCGCCCAGGCUGGCGUGCAGUGACAGGAUCACAGCUCACUACAGCCUUGAAUUCCUGGGCUCAAGCGAUCCUCCUGCCUCAGCCUCCUAAGUAGCUGGGAUUACAGGAUUUGGCUAAACAUGUUCGGGCUCUCAGCAUUCUUUCACCCCUCCCUUCAGAGGAAACACGGAGAUGCCCUGACUUGGAGUUGAGAGAUCUGGUCUCUGGUCCUGAUGCCAUCACUAACAGGCAAUGGAAGCUUCAGCAAGUCCCUCCACUGGUCUGUGCCUCCAUUCCCCAUCUGUAAAGAGGAUCGCUGGUCCCUAUCACCCCCCUGGGAUGUAGUGAGGCUUGUCAUGUGGCAAGGGAAAGCACCUGGGACAAAGCAAGGUCUUAUGCCAAUGCUUUCUGUAGCAUCAUCCUGGAGCCUCAAGUCUUGUUUGAAAUUGAAUAAAGGAGAAACAUAGGGACGAGGAAAGUGAUCACACCAAAUAUUAUCUAAAAACAUUUAAACAUUACAUUUUAAAGAAUUGAAAAUGUUAAGGGGGGAGGUGGGAGACAAGGAUUUGGCCAAAGUCUGGAUAUAUUGAGUCAAAUAGGCCUGAGUUCUAACGUAGCUUCUGGAACUUACACAUUCUUUGGAAAGUUACAUAACCUGUUAUAAACCUCCAUUUCCUCAUCUGUGCAAUGGGGACACUCAUAGCAUCCCCCUCAGAGAGUUGCAUGUUAGAAUAAAUAAUGAUGUAGAAAGCUUAGUACAUUGACUGGAAUAUAAUAAUAUUUCAACAUAUUUUAGCUACUAUUAUAUUGCUUGGCAAUGCUAUUUGGAUAACACACAGGAAUAUGUUUUAUUUUUUAUGGUUAUAAUAAUUCUUCAUAUUUGUUAACGAUUACCAAGUGCCAUUACAGAGCUUCCCAGUGACUUGCACAGCCGGCAUUUUGGAGAAUCCUAGUAAAUAAUGUUGUUGGAAUGACUUCUCAUUUAAACCUCACAGAAACUUUGAGAGAUGGAUAUAGAUAUCACUGGGAGGACACUGAGCCUUAGAGAAGCUAAGUGACUUGCCCAAGGUUACAAAGCUAAGAAGUGGCCAUGCCCAGACCUGGACUUGAGUCCAGAGCUUCUGCCUUCAAAUUCAAUGAAAUAUUCAUCUCAUGAUGAUAUGUGUACCACAUCACAGUUCUUUCCAGUUAAUGUAUUAUUUCAACAGUUUAAUGUAUUCUUGAAUGCUUACUGUGUUAGAGGAUGUAACACAAAAUUCAAGGAAAAAGGAGGCACAUGGUUAAAAAUCAAAAACGAAAAAUGUCUCAGAGCAACCCAAAGAAUUAAAAUUUGUAACCAUUUCCUUUUUCUCACCCUAAUUUUCUGGAAAGGACCAUUCAAAUUUGGUCUGAGCAUUAAAAAUAAGCAAAACCGAAACCAAAAAGGACGUCUAAGAGGUAUGAGCGGAGAUAGUAAAUUGCCCUCAUCAUUUAUGUGUGAAUAUUUUAAUACACAGGCCUAGAAAUAACAACAGAGUCGGCCUCUUAGGGUCUCCCUUCCCGCCCGUCCUUUCCUUUUUCUUUGUAACCAUCUUCACACCAGGGCAAAUAUACACGUGAACGUAAUGUGUAGAAUUAGGGACAGACUGGUGUCUCCACUUUAAUUUUCAAGGUGGUAUUAUUGCUGGCAUUCAGAGAAGACCACCCUCCUAUUCUGACAUGGUGAGUAGACCCCAUUACCUUAGGAGCUGCUCAUUUAUAUUGGUCUAUAUGAGUCUCCGUCUGGCACCAUUCCUGUCACCUAGAUAUACAUAUUUCUCCCACUGACUCCUGUGGAAAUCAUUCACUUCAAGGGUGCAAAUAAAGACUGAGUGAGGAGACUGAAGCAAGCCAAGAGGUGUGGAAAAUGCAGGCCUUGAAUGAAUUCAUCUGGUUCCAUCUUCAUUUGCUUUCUCCCUUGGCUGUUUCUAUACUAUUCAAGUGAAGCUUAUUAUUAUUAUUAUUCAAAAAAUGCCAAAGAAUAAAUACACUGUCUCGAGCACAAGCAUUAUGGACAAUUUUUGAAAUGGUAUUGCAUCCAUGAUACUGUUGCUAAAACAUUCUUUACUUUGCUCUUGCAAAAACGGUCUUAGGUCCUAUAUGAGGAAAAAGGCACUGGGGCAAGACAUUGGUCCAACCCACUGGGCCAGAGAGACAAGAGGGGGCCAGUGAAGCCAGGGAGGCCUUUGGUUGAGGUGACGGAGAAAUUGCCAAGUAGCCAGAAUUGAAAGAAAAGUCUAUCCAUUGGUUCUUGUCGUCUGGUUUCAGACACUGGCUAGGAGGAAUGAUGGCUUCUCCUUUUGCACAUUUCACUUGUCAACUUAACUUUUUUGGGCUUACUUCCUAGACAUGGGUAAUUUAUAAUUAAUUCACCAUGUAAAAUUAAUAUGCGUUUCUGGUUUGGAAUAUUAAAACUAGGCCAUGGAUUCAAUCUUUAUUGCUUGGCUGCAGGAAAGAGAGCGUCUGUCUGUCUGUACGCGUUUAAACAAAAGGGCUCCCCAGCGUAAUGUUUACUUCCAUGGUCUCUGAGACCUCGGUGUGUGGCUGACUGAGGUGUGUGUGCACUGGCACGGAGCAGGGGUCACUCGCUGUCCAUUUUAAGGGCUCAUUUCUCAGCGGGCCCUAAAUAAUGGUAGAUUGUGUUCGUAUUGUCGUUUCUCCUGAUGUAUAGAUGGACGCAUACAUAUAUAUGUGUACAUAUAUAUAUUUUUUACCAGCUGAGCAUUUCUGGAGCCUUGACCCUUUCAUUUUAGCUUUACCUUUCUUUGUCCCCUGAAUGACCGGCAUAAUUCAUCUGAUUAUCUAUUAUCUUGUUAUUGGACAUAAAUUUUACAAGCUGUUGAGAGUGCGGAAAAUCAAUACCUUUUAAAUGCUGUUUAUGUGUGAUUAACGGUUAAUAUCCUCACA
rnacentral:lncRNA from 10 species